AUGCUUCCUUCUAUCAAGAGCAUUGUGGCAGUACGAAAUCCUUCCUCAGCCUUGUUUAUAAUUUUCACCGGGCAUAUCCGAUUUUUGGACACUUGCUGCAUCUUAUUGCUGCAUUAGCUUAACCGUUCGCUUCUUUCCAUUGCUUCAACGCUUGUUUCAAGCAAUAGUCAAGAGUUACUAAAGUAG
rnacentral:rRNA from 1 species